rnacentral:snRNA from 1 species
GUGUUCACUUCAGCAGCAUACAUGCUAAAAACUGGAACAAAACAGAAAAGAUUAGCAUGAGCCCUGCACGAGAUGACAUACAAGUUCGUGAAGGGUUCCAUAUUCUC